rnacentral:pre_miRNA from 1 species
AAGAAGACAAACCCUGGUUUCCGUGUCCAACAUUUGACCGUCCGUCUUAUUUAAAAAUAUAUAAAAAAAAUUAAAAAGACAAGUCACGCAUAAAAUAUUAAUCAUGUUUUAUCAUCUAACAACAAUGAAAAUACGAAUUAUAAAAAAAUUUCAUAUAAGACGGACAGUCAAAGUUGAACAUGAAAAUCCAGGAUUUGCCUUUUU